AAACGAUAUUUUCAAAAGUAACUAUUCAAAAUAAAGCCGUUAUUUCUGCCAGUGUGAAUGUAGCUAUGUUAAUUGCGAAAGAGGGAAAACCAUUUACAGACGCAGAAUUUGUCCAAAAAUGUGUACUAAGCAUGGCCGGUAAUAUUUGUCCAGAUAUUGUACAUAAGUUUGAAGAAGUCCCAUUAUCUGCUUGUACAAUAACAAGACGUAUUGAAAAUGUUGGUGACAAUUUAUUAAAUCAACUGAU